rnacentral:rRNA from 1 species
AGAACGAACGCUGGCGGCGUGGCUAAGACAUGCAAGUCGAACGGAGUUUCCUGAAGGGCAACUGGAUGGAAACUCAGUGGCGAACGGGUGCGUAACACGUGAGCAAUCUACCUCCAAGUGGGGAAUAGCUCGGCGAAAGCCGGAUUAAUACCGCAUACGGUCCUCCUUCGCAUGAAGGGGCAACCAAAGCCGGGGUCGCAAGACCUGGCGCUAGGAGAGGAGCUCGCGGCCUAUCAGCUAGUUGGCGGGGUAACGCCCACAAGGCUAAGACGGGUAGCUGGUCUGAGAGGAUGAUCAGCCACACUGGAACUGAGACACGGUCCAGACCACCGUACGGGUGCAGCAGUUUCGAAUCAUUCACAAUGGGCGAAAGCCUGAUGGUGCGACGCCGCGGUGGGACGAGGUCUCGGAUUGUAACCCUGUCGACCGGACAAACGUCGU